GGCCGGAUAGCUCAGUUGGUAGAGCAGAGGAUUGAAAAUCCUCGUGUCGGCGGUUCGAUUCCGCCUCCGGCCACCA
rnacentral:tRNA from 6 species